rnacentral:rRNA from 1 species
CCCAAUUUUUUUGGGAUUCCGGUUCCGUAGGUGAACCUGCGGAAGGAUCAUU